rnacentral:sRNA from 1 species
AUGGACGUAGCGCAGGAUGCGCAAACAGAUAACAGGGACACGUAGGGAAUGCCUGCCAGGAUGGCGGGAAGAAAGGGAAGUCAAAAGGGAAACAGUCUGGAAAACCUCGCUUCGGCGGGGUUUU